UACGUAGGGGGCAAGCGUUGUCCGGAAUUACUGGGCGUAAAGAGCUCGUAGGUGGUUUGUCGCGUUGUUCGUGAAAACUCACAGCUCAACUGUGGGCGUGCGGGCGAUACGGGCAGACUAGAGUACUGCAGGGGAGACUGGAAUUCCUGGUGUAGCGGUGGAAUGCGCAGAUAUCAGGAGGAACACCGGUGGCGAAGACGGGUCUCUGGGCCGAUACUGACGCUGAGGAGCGAAAGCGUGGGGAGCGAACAGG
rnacentral:rRNA from 1 species